ensembl:lncRNA
UAUGUUCAUGAAUCAGAAGAUUUAACAAAAUAAAGAUGUCAAUUCUCCCCAAUUUGAUCAAUAGAUUUAAUGAAAUUUCUAUAAAAUUCCAAGGAGGAUGUUCUUGUGGACAUAGACAAACUGAUUCUAAAGUUUUUAUGGAAAGGCAAAGGAACUAGCAUAACCGAACUGAUUUUGAAAAAGAAUAAACUUAGAGGAAUCAUACUUUCUGAUUUUAAGACUUACUAUAUAGCUACACUAAUCAAGACCAUGUGGUACUGAAAUAGACAAUUACCAAUGAAUCUCAAUGAGAAUCCAGAAAUAAACUCACACAAAUAUGACCAAUUAUGUUUUUACAAUGUUACAAAAGCAAUUUUGUCCUUUCAGCAAAUGAUGUUGGAACAACUGAACAUCAAUAGGGGGGAAAAAGUUAAACCUUCACCUAAACCUCACAUCUUAUACAAAAAUUAACUCAAAACUUAAAAGUGAACCAAAAUCUAGAAGUAAAACAUAAAACUAUAAAACGUUUAGAAGACAACGUAAGAGAAAAUUAUCAUUAUCUAGGGUUAGGCAAAAAAUUCUUAAAUAUGACGCUAAAAAUAUAAUCUAUAAAACAAAAAAGUGAUAAGUUGGUCUCCAACAACAUUUAAAAUGUUUGCACUCUCACUAUUAAGAAAAUGAAAGGACAAUUCUCUUGCUGAGAGGAAAUAUUUGCAAAGCACAUAGCAGACAAAGCUCUUAUAACAAGAGUAAAUAAGGAAUUUGCAAGACGGGGGUAGUAAGAAAACUAACAACCUAACUUUAAAAUGUGCAAAAGACUUGAACAGACGUUUUAAGAAAGGAAAUAUAUGAAAUGCAUAUAAACACAUGAAAAAACAUUCAACAUCAUUAGUUAUGUGGAAAAUGCAUAUUAAAAUAUUAAUGAAAUUUUUUACGUAUCACUAGAAUGGCUAAUUUUUUAAAGCGUGACAAUACCAAGUGCUGAAGAGACUGUAGAGCAACUGAAACUUGUACACAUUGCUGAUAGAAAUGCAAAAUGAAACAGCUACUCUGGAAAAGAACUCAGCCCUUUUUAGACAAAGUUAAACAUGACGUACUGUGGGAUGCAGAAAUCCCACUCCUGGAUAGCUACAUUUGAGAAAUAGAAAAUGUAUGAUCACAUAAAAAUCUGUAUAUAAUUGUUUAUAGCAGCGCUAUUUGUAAUUGUCCAAAACUGUAAAUAAUGUGAAUGUCCUUCAAGGGUGAAUGGAUAGAUAAACUGUGGUGCAUCCAUACAAUGAAACACUACUCAGUGGUAGUAAAGAACAAACUAUCUGCCUGGCACGGUGGCACACGCCCGUAAUCCCAGCACUUUGGGAGGCCAAGGCGGGUGGCUCAACUGAGAUCAGUAGAUUGUGACCAGCUUGGCUAACAUGGUGAAACCCCAUCUCUACUAAAUACAAGUAAAUUAGCCUGGCAUGGUGGCACAUGCCUGUAAUCCGAGCUACUUGGGAGGCUGAGACAGGAGAAUCACUUGAACUCGGGAGGCGGAGGUUGCAGUGAGCCCAGAUCAUUCCAUUGCAAUCCAGCCUGGGUGACAGGAGCGAAACUCUGUUUCAAAAAAAAAAGAAAAAAGAAAAAA